AAACAAAGCCCCACAUUGAGUGAAAUAAGGAUUGGUCAAGGGUUUAUAUACACAUAGAUAUCUCCAAUGGUAAGAGGCCUUUUGGAGUGGUACCAAAAGCAAACCCGUAAAGGGCUUGGCCCAAAGCGGACAAUGUCUUACCAUGUGUGAAGUUCUAUGUGUGUGUAGAACCUCCCUCCAACAGUGGUAUCAGAGCCCAUGGUUCGGGUCUGGUGACCGGGCUCAGACGAGUACGCCCCAUCAUGAUCAGGUGAGCCAGGUAGGAGGCCAGUGGCGGAUCACCAGAGGAAUCAUGAGAGGUGGGGAGAGAGCUAGAAAAGCUCAUUGUGACNAUGGUUCGUGAAAGAGGGCAAAAGAGAAAUGCUCCGUGUUGACCAUGGUGUACUCGGUGAUGAAAAAGACUUCCGCANCGAGGGAGGAAGGAGACCAUAGUCCUUUGUUUGAGGGAGGAUGUUGGAGUGCAAACAAAGUCCCACAUUGAGUGAAAUAAGGACUGGUCAAGGGUUUAUAUACACAUAGAUAUCUCCAAUGGUAAGAGGCCUUUUGGAGUGGUACCAAAAGCAAACCCGUGAGGGCUUGGCCCAAAGCGGACAAUGUCUUACCAUGUGUGGAGUUCUAUGUGUGUGUCGAACCUCCCCCC
rnacentral:lncRNA from 1 species